GGAAGUAAAAGUCUAACAGGGUUUCCGUAGGUGAACCUGCGGAAGGAUCAUUAUUGUAUAACCGAGGUGCGAGGGCUGUCGCUGACCCGAAAGGUCGUGCACGCCCGAGUGCCCUCACACACAUCCAUCUCACCCCUAUGUGCACCACCGCGUGGGUCCCCCUUUGGCUUGUUCGGAGGGGGGCUUACGUUUUCACACGAACUUUGUAUGCAGUGUAGAAUGUAUUUUUUGUUUUUGCGAUCACGCAAUCAAUACAACUUUCAACAACGGAUCUCUUGGCUCUC
rnacentral:misc_RNA from 1 species